rnacentral:rRNA from 1 species
UACGUAGGGUGCAAGCGUUAUCCGGAUUCACUGGGUUUAAAGGGUGCGUAGGUGGGUUGGUAAGUCAGUGGUGAAAUCUCCAGGCUUAACUUGGAAACUGCCAUUGAUACUAUCAAUCUUGAAUACCGUGGAGGUCAGCGGAAUAUGUCAUGUAGCGGUGAAAUGCUUAGAUAUGACAUAGAACACCUAUUGCGAAGGCAGCUUACUACGCAUAUAUUGACGCUGAGGCACGAAAGCGUGGGGAUCAAACAGG